rnacentral:rRNA from 1 species
UAUUGGACAAUGGGCGAAAGCCUGAUCCAGCAAUGCCGCGUGAGUGAUGAAGGCCUUAGGGUUGUAAAGCUCUUUUACCCGGGAUGAUGAUGACAGUACCGGGAGAAUAAGCUCCGGCUAACUCCGUGCCAGCAGCCGCGGUAAUACGGAGGGAGCUAGCGUUGUUCGGAAUUACUGGGCGUAAAGCGCACGUAGGCGGCUUUGUAAGUUAGAGGUGAAAGCCUGGAGCUCAACUCCAGAAUUGCCUUUGAUACUGCAUCGCUUGAAUCCAGGAGAGGUGAGUGGAAUUCCGAGUGUAGAGGUGAAAUUCGUAGAUAUUCGGAAGAACACCAGUGGCGAAGGCGGCUCACAGGACGGUAUUGACGCUGAGGUCGAAA